CACACACACAUAAACACAAACAAAUGCACACAGACACACAUAAACACAAACAAAUACAGACAUAAACACAAACAAAUACACAUUUAUUUUAAAUUUCUGCAUUUUUUUUUAUUUCUACAUCUGUGUGUUUCUGGGUGAUGGUUCUCUAGAUGAUGGUUCUAGGUGAGGUUCUCUAGGUGAUGGUUCUCUAGGUGAUGGUUCUCUGGGUGAUGGUUCUCUGGGUGAUGGUUCUCUGGGUGAUGGUUCUUGGUGAUGGUUCUGGGUGAGGUUCUCUGGGUGAUGGUUCUCUAGGUGAUAGUUCUUUAGAUGAUGGUUCUCUAGAUGAUGGUUCUAGGUGAGGUUCUCUGGGUGAUGGUUCCCUAGAUGAUGGUUCUGGGUGAGGUUCUCUGGGUGAUGGUUCCCUAGAUGAUGGUUCUAGCUGAUGGUUCUCUGGGUGAUGGUUCGAGGUGAUGAUUCUCUAGAUGAUGGUUCUAGGUAAGGUUCUCUAGGUGAUGGUUCUGGGUGAGGUUCUCUGGGUGAUGGUUCUCUAGGUGAUAGUUCUUUAGAUGAUGGUUCUCUAGAUGAUGGUUCUAGGUGAGGUUCUCUGGGUGAUGGUUCCCUAGAUGAUGGUUCUGGGUGAGGUUCUCUGGGUGAUGGUUCCCUAGAUGAUGGUUCUAGCUGAUGGUUCUCUGGGUGAUGGUUCCAGGUGAUGAUUCUCUAGAUGAUGGUUCUAGGUAAGGUUCUCCAGGUGAUGGUUCUAGGUGAUGGUUCUCAAGGUGAUGGAUCUCUAGAUGAUGGUUCUCUAGGUGAUGGUUCUGCAGAUGAUGGCUUUCCAGGUGAUGGUUCUAGGUGAUGGUUCUAGGUGAUUGUUCUCUAGGUGAUGGUUCUAGCUGAUGGU